rnacentral:rRNA from 1 species
UACAGAGGUGGCAAGCGUUGUUCGGAAUGACUGGGCGUAAAGGGCGCGUAGGCGGCUCGUGAAGUCGGGUGUGAAAGCCCGGGGCUCAACCCCGGAACGGCAUCCGGUACUGGCGGGCUUGAGACCGGGAGAGGAGGGUGGAAUACCCAGUGUAGAGGUGAAAUUCGUAGAUAUUGGGUGGAACACCGGUGGCGAAAGCGGCUCUCUGGCCCGGAUCUGACGCUGAGGCGCGAAAGCGUGGGGAGCAAACAGG